GCUUUAGGCUUGAUUUAUCAAGCGGUAGGAGAGCGUUCUAUUUGCGUCGAAGGUAUACCGACAAGGAGUGCUGGAGCGAAUAGAAGUGAGCAUGCAGGCAUGAGUAGCGAUAAUUAAUGUGAGAAUCAUUAACGCCGUAAACCCAAGGUUUCCUACGCGAUGCUCGUCAUCGUAGGGUUAGUCGGGUCCUAAGCUGAGUCCGAAAGGGGUAAGCGAUGGCAAAUAGGUUAAUAUUCCUAUACCAACAUUAGUGUGCGAUGGAAGGACGCUUAGGGCUAAGGGGGCUAGCGGAUGGAAGUGCUAGUCUAAGGUCGUAGGAGGUUAUACAGGCAAAUCCGUAUAACAAUACUCCGAGAACUGAAAGGCUUUUUGAAGUCUUCGGAUGGAAAGAAGAACCCCUGAUGCCGUCGAGCCAAGAAAAGUUUCUAAGUUUAGCUAAUGUUGCCCGUACCGUAAACCGACACAGGUGGGUGGGAUGAGUAUUCUAAGGCGCGUGGAAGAACUCUCUUUAAGGAACUCUGCAAAAUAGCACCGUAUCUUCGGUAUAAGGUGUGCCUCCCUUUGUAUUAGAAUUCACUUCGAAAGCAAAGAAGGUUACAACAAAGAGUCCCUCCCGACUGUUUACCAAAAACACAGCACUCUGCUAACUCGUAAGAGGAUGUAUAGGGUGUGACGCCUGCCCGGUGCUCGAAGGUUAAUUGAUGGGGUUAGCAUUAGCGAAGCUCUUGAUCGAAGCCCGAGUAAACGGCGGCCGUAACUAUAACGGUCCUAAGGUAGCGAAAUUCCUUGUCGGUUAAAUACCGACCUGCAUGAAUGGCGUAACGAGAUGGGAGCUGUCUCAAAGAGGGAUCCAGUGAAAUUGUAGUGGAGGUGAAAAUUCCUCCUACCCGCGGCAAGACGGAAAGACCCCGUGGACCUUUACUACAGCUUGACACUGCUAUUUGGAUAAGAAUGUGCAGGAUAGGUGGGAGGCUUUGAGUAUAUGACGCCAGUUGUAUAUGAGCCAUUGUUGAGAUACCACUCUUUCUUAUUUGGGUAGCUAACCAGCUUGAGUUAUCCUCAAGUGGGACAAUGUCUGGUGGGUAGUUUGACUGGGGCGGUCGCCUCCCAAAUAAUAACGGAGGCUUACAAAGGUUGGCUCAUAGCGGUUGGAAAUCGCUAGUAGAGUAUAAAGGUAUAAGCCAGCUUAACUGCAAGACAUACAAGUCAAGCAGAGACGAAAGUCGGUCUUAGUGAUCCGGUGGUUCUGUGUGGAAGGGCCAUCGCUCAAAGGAUAAAAGGUACCCCGGGGAUAACAGGCUGAUCUCCCCCAAGAGCUCACAUCGACGGGGAGGUUUGGCACCUCGAUGUCGGCUCAUCGCAUCCUGGGGCUGGAGCAGGUCCCAAGGGUAUGGCUGUUCGCCAUUUAAAGCGGUACGCGAGCUGGGUUCAGAACGUCGUGAGACAGUUCGGUCCCUAUCUGCCGUGGGCGUAAGAAGAUUGAAGAGAUUUGACCCUAGUACGAGAGGACCGGGUUGAACAAACCACUGGUGUAGCUGUUGUUCUGCCAAGAGCAUCGCAGCGUAGCUAAGUUUGGAAAGGAUAAACGCUGAAAGCAUCUAAGCGUGAAGCCAACUCUAAGAUGAAUCUUCUCUAAGCUCUCUAGAAGACUACUAGUUUGAUAGGCUGGGUGUGUAAUGGAUGAAAGUCCUUUAGCUGACCAGUACUAAUAGAGCGUUUGGCUUA
rnacentral:rRNA from 1 species